rnacentral:rRNA from 1 species
UACGUAGGGUGCGAGCGUUGUCCGGAAUUAUUGGGCGUAAAGGGCUCGUAGGCGGUUUGUCGCGUCGGGAGUGAAAACUCAGGGCUUAACUCUGAGCCUGCUUCCGAUACGGGCAGACUAGAGGUAUGCAGGGGAGAACGGAAUUCCUGGUGUAGCGGUGAAAUGCGCAGAUAUCAGGAGGGACACCGGUGGCGAAGGCGGUUCUCCGGGCAUGACCUGACGCUGAGGAGCGAAAGUGUGGGGAGCGAACAGG